rnacentral:lncRNA from 1 species
CCCCAUGCAGGCUCCCACCAAUUAAUAAUCUAAAGACCUGUUUCCUUGGGACACAGCUUUGGAAAUCAUCAGGUCCCACCAAAGAGGGUUGCCGCAGGCUUUAUGAAAGUCUGGGUAAUGGUAGAGUUUACAUCACCACAAAGCAGGAAGUGCUUUUAAAAACCAAGUGGAAGCCUUCCCGAGCCUUUGAAAGUCUGGUCCACCUCUCCACAGGGCUUCUUCAGAAGCUACUGCUCCCCAGCCACUGUUCUCCACCAAGUGACAAAACCGCCUCCCCAUUCUUCGCCCUUCCCUCUUCUGCCAA